rnacentral:rRNA from 1 species
GUAGGUGGCAAGCGUUGUCCGGAAUUAUUGGGCGUAAAGCGCGCGCAGGCGGUCCUUUAAGUCUGAUGUGAAAGCCCACGGGCUCAACCGUGGAGGGUCAUUGGAAACUGGGGGACUUGAGUACAGAAGAGGAAAGCGGAAUUCCAAGUGUAGCGGUGAAAUGCGUAGAGAUUUGGAGGAACACCAGUGGCGAAGGCGGCUUUCUGGUCUGUAACUGACGCUGAGGCGCGAAAGCGUGGGGAGCAAACAGGAUUAGAUACCCUGGUAGUCCACGCCGUAAACGAUGAGUGCUAAGUGUUAGGGGGCUUCCGCCCCUUAGUGCUGCAGCUAACGCAUUAAGCACUCCGCCUGGGGAGUACGGCCGCAAAGGCUG